UACGGAGGGUGCAAGCGUUAUCCGGAUUCACUGGGUUUAAAGGGUGCGUAGGCAGAUAGGUAAGUCCGUGGUGAAAUCCUGCAGCUUAACUGCAGAACUGCCAUGGAUACUAUUUAUCUGAAUGUCGUGGAGGUUAGCAGAAUAUGUCAUGUAGCGGUGAAAUGCUUAGAUAUGACAUAGAAUACCCAUUGCGAAGGCAGCUAACUACGCGAUAAUUGACGCUGAUGCACGAAAGCGUGGGGAUCAAACAGG
rnacentral:rRNA from 1 species